AAAGCCUGAUCCAGCCAUGCCGCGUGUGUGAAGAAGGCUUUCGGGUUGUAAAGCACUUUCAGCGAGGAAGAAGGCCUGAUGAUUAAUACUCGUCAGGAAGGACAUCACUCGCAGAAGAAGCACCGGCUAACUCCGUGCCAGCAGCCGCGGUAAUACGGAGGGUGCAGGCGUUAACCGGAAUUACUGGGCGUAAAGCGCGCGUAGGUGGCUUGAUAAGCCGGUUGUGAAAGCCCCGGGCUCAACCUGGGAACUGCAUCCGGAACUGUUAGGCUAGAGUGCAGGAGAGGAAGGUAGAAUUCCCGGUGUAGCGGUGAAAUGCGUAGAGAUCGGGAGGAAUACCAGUGGCGAAGGCGGCCUUCUGGACUGACACUGACACUGAGGUGCGAAAGCGUGGGUAGCAAACAGGAUUAGAUACCCUGGUAGUCCACGCCGUAAACGAUGUCNNNUAGCCGUUGGGAGCCUCG
rnacentral:rRNA from 1 species